AUGGGGACGCGGGAGGUGUACGAGGAGAAGCUCCGCAGCGGCGCGCACCUCCACCGCGACCCCACCAUCAACCCCGGCCUCGGCUCCGCCCGCUGCCCCCGCUGCCUCUCCCUCCUCAACCCCGCCACCAGCUCCGUACGUACUCCCCAACCCCCCUCCCUUCCUCCCCCGAUUCCUCCUCCUNNNNNNNNNNUUAAUUUCUACGGGCGCCUGCCCGAGAUCCGCAAUUGGGGAGAUUCGUCGCUAACUUGUGUGCUUGCUUCCUGCCUGUCCUGUUGCUGCAGACUGGUUCCGGCGCCGGCGCGAUGCUCAGUGCGGUGCACGGGUUCAAUACAGAAGCAUGUGAAGGGCCCCAAGUGGCUGCACUUACUCGUUGGGGUCCCUCCUUUGGUCUUAUUCUCUGGUGCCAGUGCUUUAUUUGGGGCUUACGCGCUCCCAACGUUUGCUCAGCUCACUGUGACAUCCUAUUAUGCUGCAUCAAGUGCCUCUCACUACGCAAUUUCACAGAUCACCCGCCAGAUCGAGAAGGCCCAUUUGUCAGGCGCCGAGGAGAAAUCUUGA
rnacentral:rRNA from 1 species